GAUGAACGCUGGCGGCGUGCCUAAUACAUGCAAGUAGAACGCUGAAGGAGGAGCUUGCUCUUCUGGAUGAGUUGCGAACGGGUGAGUAACGCGUAGGUAACCUGCCUGGUAGCGGGGGAUAACUAUUGGAAACGAUAGCUAAUACCGCAUGACAACAGUUAUUGCAUGAUAACUGUUUAAAAGGGGCAACUGCUCCACUACCAGAUGGACCUGCGUUGUAUUAGCUAGUUGGUGAGGUAACGGCUCACCAAGGCGACGAUACAUAGCCGACCUGAGAGGGGGGUCGGCCACACUGGGACUGAGACACGGCCCAGACUCCUACGGGAGGCAGCAGUAGGGAAUCUUCGGCAAUGGACGGAAGUCUGACCGAGCAACGCCGCGUGAGUGAAGAAGGGUUUCGGAUCGUAAAGCUCUGUUGUAAGAGAAGAACGAGUGUGAGAGUGGAAAGUUCACACUGUGACGGUAUCUUACCAGAAAGGGACGGCUAACUACGUG
rnacentral:rRNA from 1 species